CUUCUUCUAAAAUCAAGCAUUGCCAGUUCUUCUUUUUAUUCUUCCAUCUCCUUUUCAGUAACUGUUUCACUUCCAAUAACAAAAACGAAUCCUCGCUCAUUACACUACAACCGUUUCAACUUUCAUCUUUUUGUUACAUCUCUCUCUUUCUUCUUCCAGGUUAUUCUUUGAAAAAUCACUCUCAUCUCUCUUACAAACAAAAAUCAAAAGAAUGGUUCAAAGUGAAAUCAAGAAAGAGUUUCAUGAAUCAUUCAGAAUGGUGA